rnacentral:rRNA from 1 species
UACAGAGGUCUCAAGCGUUGUUCGGAUUCAUUGGGCGUAAAGGGUGCGUAGGUGGCGCCGUAAGUCAGGUGUGAAAUUUCGGAGCUUAACUCCGAAACUGCAUUUGAUACUGCGGUGCUUGAGGACUGGAGAGGAGACUGGAAUUUACGGUGUAGCAGUGAAAUGCGUAGAGAUCGUAAGGAAGACCAGUGGCGAAGGCGGGUCUCUGGGCCGUAACUGACGCUGAGGAGCGAAAGCAUGGGGAGCGAACAGG